rnacentral:rRNA from 1 species
UACGAAGGGGGCUAGCGUUGCUCGGAAUCACUGGGCGUAAAGCGCACGUAGGCGGCUUCUUAAGUCAGGGGUGAAAUCCUGGAGCUCAACUCCAGAACUGCCUUUGAUACUGAGAAGCUUGAGUCCGGGAGAGGUGAGUGGAACUGCGAGUGUAGAGGUGAAAUUCGUAGAUAUUCGCAAGAACACCAGUGGCGAAGGCGGCUUACUGGUCCGGUUCUGGACGCUGAGGCGCGAAAGCGUGGGGAGCAAACAGG